AUGAACGCUGGCGGCGUGCUUAACACAUGCAAGUCGAGCGAGAAGUUUUGAAAAGAUUCUUCGGAUGAAAUUUAAAAUGGAAAGCGGCGGACGGGUGAGUAACGCGUAGGCAACCUGCCCCAUACAAAGGGAUAGCAUUUGGAAACGAAUAUUAAUACCUUAUGAAACUUAACUAGUGCAUGCUAGGUAGGUCAAAGAUUUAUCGGUAUGGGAUGGGCCUGCGUCUGAUUAGCUAGUUGGUGAGGUAACGGCUCACCAAGGCGACGAUCAGUAGCCGACCUGAGGGGGUGAACGGCCACAUUGGAACUGAGACACGGUCCAAACUCCUACGGGAGGCAGCAGUGGGGAAUAUUGCACAAUGGGGGAAACCCUGAUGCAGCAACGCCGCGUGAACGAUGAAGGCCUUUGGGUCGUAAAGUUCUGUUCUAGGUGAUGAAAACUGACAGUAACCUAGGAGAAAGCCCCGGCUAACUCCGUG
rnacentral:rRNA from 1 species